GACGAACGCUGGCGGCGUGCUUAACACAUGCAAGUCGAACGGAAAGGCCCUGCUUUUGUGGGGUGCUCGAGUGGCGAACGGGUGCGUAACACGUGAGUAACCUGCCCUUGACUUUGGGAUAACUUCAGGAAACUGGGGCUAAUACCGGAUAGGAGCUCCUGCUGCAUGGUGGGGGUUGGAAAGUUUCGGCGGUUGGGGAUGGACUCGCGGCUUAUCAGCUUGUUGGUGGGGUAGUGGCUUACCAAGGCUUUGACGGGUAGCCGGCCUGGGAGGGUGACCGGCGACAAGGGGACUAAGAGACGGCGCAGUAGGGUACGGGAGGCAACGGUGGGGAGCAUGGCACAAUGAGCGGGAGCGUGAGACAGAGACGCCGCGUGCGGGAUGACGGCCUUCGGGUUGAGAACCGCUGUCGCCUGUGACGAAGCGGGAGUGACGGUAAUGGGUAAAGAAGCACCGGCUAACUACGUG
rnacentral:rRNA from 1 species